rnacentral:rRNA from 1 species
GCAUAUCAAUAAGCGGAGGAAAAGAAACCAACAGGGAUUGCCUCAGUAACGGCGAGUGAAGCGGCAAGAGCUCAAAUUUGAAAUCUGGAGCCUUCGGCUUCCGAGUUGUAAUUUGAAGAGGGUGUUUCGGUUGCGGCCCUGGCCUAAGUUCCUUGGAACAGGACGUCAUGGAGGGUGAGAAUCCCGUACAUGGCUGAGGGCUUGCUUCUAUGUGAAACCCCUUCGAAGAGUCGAGUUGUUUGGGAAUGCAGCUCAAAAUGGGUGGUAAAUUUCAUCUAAAGCUAAAUAUUGGCGGGAGACCGAUAGCGCACAAGUAGAGUGAUCGAAAGAUGAAAAGCACUUUGAAAAGAGAGUUAAACAGUACGUGAAAUUGUUGAAAGGGAAGCGCUUGCAAUCAGACUCGCUUUCGGUUGAUCAACGUUCCUUUUGGUUCGUGCACUCUGCCGUUUGCGGGCCAGCAUCAGUUGGGGCGGUGGGACAAAGGCGGUGGGAAUGUGGCUCCCCUCGGGGAGUGUUAUAGCCCGUCGUGCCAUGCCACCAGUCCCGACUGAGGUCCGCGGUUCGCCUAGGAUGCUGGCUUAAUGGUUGUAAGCGACCCGUCUUGAAACACGGACCAAGGAGUCUAACAUCUACGCGAGUCUUUGGGUGUCAAACCCAUGGGCGCAAUGAAAGUGAACGGAGGUGGGAGUCCUCGGACGCACCAUCGACCGAUCCUGAUGUUCUCGGAUGGAUUUGAGUAUGAGCGUAGCUGUUGGGACCCGAAAGAUGGUGAACUAUGCCUGAAUAGGGUGAAGCCAGAGGAAACUCUGGUGGAGGCUCGCAGCGGUUCUGACGUGCAAAUCGAUCGUCAAAUUUGGGUAUAGGGGCGAAAGACUAAUCGAACCAUCUAGUAGCUGGUUCCUGCG